GACGGAGGGGGCAAGCGUUGUCCGGAAUUACUGGGCGUAAAGCGCGCGUAGGCGGUGGCGUACGGCGGUGGUGAAAGCUCCCGGCUCAACUGGGAGAGGCCCGCCGCAACGGCGUGACUGGAGGCAGGUAGAGGCAGAUGGAAUUCCUGGUGUAGCGGUGAAAUGCGUAGAGAUCAGGAGGAACCCCCGUGGCGAAGGCGGUCUGCUGGGCCUGUCCUGACGCUGAGGCGCGAAAGCCAGGGGAG
rnacentral:rRNA from 1 species